GUGUCAGUAGUGCAACGGUUCAGCACGCACUCCUGGAAAGAUUGAGGUCUGGGAUCAAAUCGCAGCAGGCGCA